rnacentral:piRNA from 1 species
UCCAGAUGAUCUAUGUCCCGU